UGGUAAUUAGUUUAACGAAAACAAAUGAUUUCGACUCAUUAGAUUGUAAAUCGCAUUACAAUUAUCAA
rnacentral:tRNA from 1 species